UUGAAAUUACAUAGAUUCAUCUCCAAUUUCAUUUUGCGCGCUCUCAAUUUCCUUUCCCAGAUUCUCGAAUCGUCCUCCAACAACACUGUUUCAAAGCUAAACCAAAACUCUCCCAUUGAGUUUCAACCACCGCCGCACAACGAAGAAGCGCCACCUCCAACUCUGCUUGUUCUCUCCGAUAAAACGACGAUAACAAUAGUAGCAACUUCGAUAAUAGUUUCAAGCUCCGUAACGGAAGAGAGGUUCAUAAAUCAUACUUCUCAAUUUUCAAUUUCAUUUUCAAUUUCACUUUCUUUGAUUCAAUUCAAUUUUCAAAAUCAUACCUCUCGCGCCUCAAUCUCGGCAACGCCGCCGCUGCUUCAUCUUUUUCUCCAGGUAACUCUUUUCUCUCCCUCACGCCUCGGUCACGACAAUGUCGCCGCUGCUUCUCUCUAUAAAUGAAAUUAGGGUUCCGUUAACCGCAAUUUUUUAUUCCGUUAGAUGAAAUUAGGGUUCUGCUUUGAUAUUGUGAAGAUGCCUCUGCUAGUAUUUUGAAUUUGGAACAGUAAUAACGUUGCAAUUCUUCAAAAGUCUAUAUUAGCAAUUUUAGUAUUGAUUGUUAUGGUAUAUUGGUCACGUGAAUCUGCCUUGUGUUGCUUAAUGGUAAAUUUCGGACUUCAAAUUCCAACAUCUGACUUCGAAUUUGUGGUGUUUGAAUUUUUAAACUCAACCAUAUAUUCAGGGUUUGCUGGAAUUGGAUCAACCAGUUUGAUAAGUUACAAAAGUUCCAUGAUAAGCAUAGCUUAUUAGUUUGCAGAAUUCUCUUCAAAGCUUUAUAAUAUAAAUUUAAAUCAUGAAAUAUGAGGGGGCUUUGAUUCAUGCAUAUAUGCAGGGGGUUAAGAAACAGAUGGUUCUUUGUAUAAUCCUACUGAUUUUUUCAAUUCUGAUUUCGGAUGAUGCUUAAUUCAAGGUCAGAACAAUGUAAAGGCUUCAACAAAAACUUGUGUUUUGGCAUAGAAUUCUUGCAUUUUAGCUUUAAUGAGCAGAGAUAGGAACAUAUUUCAACAUGGCAUGAAGGUUUCAAGUGACUUCGUUGGCAAGCUUGUUGGCCACAAGUAUGAGGUUACACAAUUCAAGACAAAUGAGAAAUUGAUUUGUACAUGGCAUGGAGAGUCGCUUUUAGCUAUGGAGGAGAAAUAGAUUCUUAGUUAUAGAUAGUAUAUUGUUGUUUUGAGAAUUUGGUUGUAAAUUCUUAAUUUCAGGAACAAUAUUAAAUACUAGUGAUGUUUUUGUA